CUUUCCCGCCCUUUUUGUGCCCUCACAUUUUCCACCAUUUUUUCCCACCAUUUUUCAAUCACCUUUCCCACUAUUUUCCCCUCACAUUUCUCACCCAUUUCCCCUCACAUUUCCCUCCAUUUCCCCUCACAUUUCUCACCCAUUUCCCCUCACAUUUCCCUCCAUUUCCCCUCACAUUUCCCUCCAUUUCCCCCUCACAUUUCCCUCCCUUUUCCCCUCACAUUUCCCGCCCUUUUCCCCUCACAUUUCCCUCCCUUUUCCCCUCACAUUUCCCUCCCUUUUCCCCUCACAUUUCCCUCCCUUUUCCCCUCACAUUUCCCUCCCUUUUCCCUCCCUUUUCCCCUCACAUUUCCCGCCAUUUUCUCCUCACAUUUCCCCCAAUUUGGGGUCCAAACCCACCCCCUGCCCCCCAGUUUGGGGUCCACUCUCACCACAGCCCUUUGUCCCCACGUCACCGUGUCCCUGUGU
rnacentral:lncRNA from 1 species